GGGGUUGUGACUCAGUGGUGGAGCACUUGCCUCACAUGUAUGAGGCACUGGGUUCAAUCCUCAACACCA
rnacentral:tRNA from 1 species